CGCUCCCGGUGUCACUCGGAGCCGCCGCGGAGCGCCCGCUGCCGCCGGGGGGCGGGGGCCGCGGGCUCCGCCGCUCCGCAGCAGCCGGUAGCCAUGCGCCGGUUUAGUUGCUCGUAGUUGCUGAAGUAAAACUUCUAUCCUCCCCAUGCUAACUGUUGACAUGGAAAACAAGGAAAAUGGCUCUCUGGAUGUCAAAAAUUCAUUGGAGAAUGGGAGACCUCUGGAUCCUGCUGACUGGGCUGUUACUGAUGUUGUGAAUUAUUUCAGAACAGCUGGAUUUGAAGAACAAGCCAAUGCUUUUCAGGAACAGGAAAUUGAUGGCAAAUCAUUACUGUUGAUGACAAGAAAUGAUGUACUGACUGGACUUUCAUUAAAACUGGGGCCUGCGCUGAAAAUCUAUGAAUAUCACGUAAAACCUCUACAGACACAACAUCUAAAGAACAACUCUUUAUAGCUAAUUGUCUAAUUGGGGUCAUGCUGUGCCUCAAGGGAAAAAUAAGUAAUUUGGUUUCAUGUGAUGGAACUUUGUAAAGAGAGAAUAUAUCUAUUAAGAGUUUAAACCAAAUUAGAAUAUAUAUCCUAUUGGAUAGAGCUGGCAAUAUACUAUAUGCUGAGUCUGAACUGAGAGAGGUGGUGUGUAUUUUUUACAUAGUACAUAAUGAUUUUCUCUUUUAGGAAGUGUCAAUGAGCAUGUUGAGAUAGCUACAUCACUGUAUCCAGAACAAAAGGGAGGAGGAGCCCUGGCCACAGUUCACCAGUAACAUCUGUAUUGCCCUUACCCGUGUCUGGAGCUGUCAGUGCUGCGGAGCUGCCGUGCUGGCCCUGGUACACAGCGUGGGUCCAUUUACCCCAGAAUGUCUGGAGACAGCCCAAGCAUGGUGCUAAACCCUGUCUGGGCUCACCAUCAUCUCUGGCCCAGAGAGCUGUGCCAUGAGCCCUGAAAUGGGGAAUGUGGGCUUGCAUCAGUGAUGCUGAGCAGAGGAACAAGGAAGGAGAAAAUAAGUGUGAGAGUGUGGUGAAAGUGGGGACAGGAUUCAGGGAGAGGAAGGAGGAACUCCUGCAAUCUCCUGCCUGGGUAUUGGCCCUGUCUUCACUUUGACUUGGCAAAGUGUGAGGUGGCUGUUCAUGCUUGUGGUUAAACGGAGAAAGGGGAGAGAAGAGACAAAGCCUUGCUAAUAGUUAUGCCAUAGGUGAAGCUCUGGUAUAUGUUAUAUUACAUAAAUAUAUACAGCAGCAUGCUUUCUUGGAUUCUUCCUAACCUUUACACGGUACAGUGUAUUUAUUUGGAAUUUGAGACAAUAGGACAGAGAUGUAUUCAUCAUUUCUUUGACUGUCCCUUGUACUGAGCUUACUUCAGGUAUUGGUCUGUUAGCAGCAGGUUUGUAAGCCAUGGUCUGAAUUCUGUUUAUGAUUUUAUUUAUAGUUUGGUCAUGUCCAGAGAUACCUGCUGGGAGUAGAGCUCUGCUGGAAGACUAGAUUCAAAUAGAGAUCAUCAACCCUGCCUUGGGGAAUUUUGAGCUAUAGUCUGUAUCUGGCUAAUUUUAGAUUGUAAUUUAAAAAUUAUACAUGAAACCCCUAAAUAUUUUAAUAUAGAAUUAGGUAUGUUUAUGAAAAGGAUCAUGAAAGUAGCCUGGACGUGCCAACCAGCACUGUAUGUGUAGAAUUAUUUUGGAUGAGAAUACAUAGUGCUGUGUUAUGGUAGGAUUAAUUGAAUAUUCUUUUUUUCUCCAUUUGCAUGUUUGGUAUGGGAUUUACAUUUUGUGGUCCUAUGGAAGACAGAAUUUGAAGUAAAAUGUACAUAUUCCAAGAGGGAGUAAAAAUCUCCACUGUGCAGACAUGAGAGUGCAUUUGAUGACUACUGAACAAAGUUCUUUCUUUUAAUAUGUUUAAUGAGCAAAUGAACUGCAUUCAGAAACAUCCAGAUUUUAUUUCCCCUUUGCUCAGCACCACUGAGUCAUACAAGUAAAGGCAUAACAGAAGUCUCAUUGCAAGUGCAAAAGGAAUUUGGAAAAUAUUGGUCAAAACUGUGACAAUUUUUUUACUGUCUCUGAUUUUUAUUGUAGUUUCCUACUGUUCUCUGAGCUUUCUAAUGCUGCUGUUUGUGUAGUUGACUGUUCUGGUUUUGUCUCUUACAUUCUCUUUGCUGUUUCUGGGAGAACAAAAAAAUCUAAGAGACUGAAGGGUUUAAAAGAGGAAGUCAAAGCCAGAUUAUUUUUAGCUACCAUUCCUCUUGCAGAAAACACAGCUGCUGUUGAGAUGAGGAAGCAACUGAUAGGCAUUACUGGAUACCAUGUCAGUACUGCAGCUCUGAGUUGCAGAGCUAUGCAGGAAUCCAAUUUAAAUCAUGCCCUUGUAUGUGCCUGCAGCUGGGAGAGUCCCUCUUCCUUAAAAGCCCUGCCUGUGCCCUGGGUGAUGGUUAAGCUGCCAGCCUCUGACUGCUCAGCUGAUCCAGGGGGUGAGUGUGAUGAAGGUCUUGGCUUUUACGCUGGAUCACAAUUUAGAGAGUGCCCUUCUCCUGGAGGCAGCUUUAAGGACUAAAGCAGCACUAAGCUCCCCUGCCCUGCUGUCGGUCAGCACAAGAGGAGUCAUGCUGCAGCCAAGGUCUUCCCUGUCCCUCCUCUCUCCUAAUAUCAGAAGUGCUUAUCUAUCAGAAUCUUUUAUAUGCUUUUAAAAUUAUUUCA